UUUGUAUCUCUGCUGUCUUUGAGCUGCGGACUCUGCCCUAUGUAUUUAUUCUUGACUUUCCAGUGACAAAUUUUACAAGCAGAUGCUCUGUGUUCUUUCAUUGGUUAAAGGUAAACUAACCAGGCAGCUUGUGUGUGUUUACUA